CCAAUUUGUGAUGAAGAUUUAAUUGUCCAUAUUAUUGCCCAGUUAGGUGAUGAAUAUAAACCUAUUGUUGCUGCUAUAAAGGUACGAGAAUCUGCGAUUUCUUUUAAUGACUUAUUUGAAAAGCUGACUGAUU